CAUGUCAUACAUGUCAUACAUGUACAAUGAAGGAUCUUCUAUGUGUGUUAAUGGCUUUUGCCUUCCUAAUGACAACAAAUGGACAAUGUCCAUCGAAUGUUGGAAAUAUAUCAAUAACUACCUGUAGCAGAGUAUUUAAAUCGGGACCACGGAUCUACGUGGACUUUAACAAAAUUAACCAACCAUGCGAAUGUACUGUGGCCCUCCUUGGAUUUGCUGGGGAUUUACUUGUGACAGCGGAACCAUUAACAAUAAUAUCAUGUAAUACGAAAGUGGUAGUAAAUGGAAGUCAUACAUUUGGCUGUCCAAUUCCACAGGGAUCGUCAGUUACGUUUACAUUGUCAUUACACCAAUCUAUAAAUGUAGAAGCAGAAUACUCACCAACAUUUUCCCCAGGAACCUUUUAUCAAUGUCUAGGAUUUUAAAGGUAACGGUAAUAGAUUUAUUAUUAUCAAAGGCGAUGGGAUUUUGAUUUGUUAACUUAGAUAGUAGCGCAACAAAUGAUAUUCUUAAUAUACAAAUUUAAUGAGCUAUUCUUUACAACAUCGAAAGCCAUCAGAACGACGCUUUUUUAUAACUAAUGUUAACAAAUUAAAAAUGUAUUUACCAAAAGCCUCCUUGAAUAAACAAGCAUUCUGAGAGUAUUGUAUAAGCAAUACACGUCCCCAUUUGGUUUGUAGAAAUUUGUGAAAAUAAUGCACUGUUAUGCAGAAUAUCAUUCCUUACCGUCUUCUGCACCCCGAAUCAACAGUUUAACCCGAUAACGAACCCGAUUGUAAAAAUACAAAAUACCCUCUGGAUUAAAUUUACAACACAAUGCUUGACACUAUUUUACAGAACUUAUUUGUUUGUUAGAAACAAUAGAAGGAAUGGUCCAAUUAAUGCACGAUAAUAUUACUGACUACAUACCUUCCUCGUUCAUUCAAUACACACCGAACCCGGUCAUUGAAAUAUUGGAAUAUAAAAAAUUAAUUUUCUCGAAAAUAUGUCAACCAGACGCCACAAAAGUGUAAACUUGAUCUGUAGUGUGACAUUUUGAAGCUUUUCAGCAAAGAACAAGUGCACUUAAGCUAUAGAGAAUGGGGCCUUUUUCAGUGCCGUUUUUAUGUAGGGAAUAUCAACAGAUUGCUUUUUUCUCGUAAUAGUUAAGCACUGAUGGAUACUUAAGAUUUAUAUGCACGCUUAAAUUUACCAAAAUUAGCAUACAGUUUAAAAAAUUGAGGAUUUUUAAAUGCCUAUAAACAAUCUAAAUCCAUAAAAAUCGAACCGAACCUACUUGAAUUGUGUCUAUUUUAAUCAGAGGGAGGAGAAAUUGAAAUCAACAUUGUUCUGUUGGUGGAUCGAUUGGCACAUUUGAAAAACGUCUACCUGGAUAGAACCCACGUGAUUGUUUGAAAUAAUUUAUUCCAUGCGUGGGUUCAAACAUGGGUCACGCAUGUAAUAGCUUUCGCUUGCUAUAGGAAAAACCUUGAAAUUUUCAUACGUUUUUCAUUUUUUAGGUACCAGCCUAAUGUAGUACAAACUUCUUAUUUUCACAGGAGUUUCCUAAAUGUAUAAUGCGUAUUUUGUCUUUUCCACAAGUUUGUACUCGGUUAGGCUGACAGUAAACAAAGGCUUUGAAAUGAAUGCCC